ACACACUCCUGGAUAGAGUCCUGACACACUGUGUAACCCCACACACUCCUGGAUAGAAUCCUGACACACUGUGUAACCCCACACACUCCUGGAUAGAGUCCUGACACACUGUGUAACCCCACACCCUCCUGGAUAGAGUCCCUGACACACUGUGUACCCCCACACACUCCUGGAUAGAGUCCUGACACACUGUGUAACCCCACACACUCCUGGAUAGAGUCCUGACACACUGUGUAACCCCACACACUCCUGGAUAGAUCCCUGACACACUGUGUAACCCCACACACUCCUGGAUAGAGUCCCUGACACACUGUGUAACCCCACACACUCCUGGAUAGAGUCCUGACACACUGUGUAACCCCACACACUCCUGGAUAGAGUCCUGACACACUGUGUAACCCCACACACUCCUGGAUAGAGUCCCUGACACACUGUGUAACCCCACACACUCCUGGAUAGAGUCCCUGACACACUGUGUACCCCCACACACUCCUGGAUAGAGUCCUGACACACUGUGUAUCCCCACACACUCCUGGAUAGAGUCCUGACACACUGUGUAACCCCACACACUCCUGGAUAGAGUCCUGACACACUGUGUAACCCCACACACUCCUGGAUAGAGUCCUGACACACUGUGUAACCCCACACACUCCUGGAUAGAGUCCCUGACACACUGUGUAACCCCACACACUCCUGGAUAGAGUCCUGACACACUGUGUAAC